rnacentral:lncRNA from 1 species
CGCCGCGUUACUGGAGCCGGUGUCCCGGCAACCCCGGAACGCGCCUCUGUGGGAGAAGCAGGCGGCUGCGGUGUCCCUUUUGCCCUAGGCUCUCGGUUCUCAGGCCUCGGCGUGCGGCGUGCGUUCGGCAGUUCAGUUGCCAGUUGGUUCGUUGGUCCGUGGAGGCCUCUGAGCACAGACCCGGGCCUCCCCUGGGGAAGGGGGUGGGAAGACCCCGAGGUGGAAAAGAAGGAGCACCUUGAGCUGGAUGGGGGCUGCAGCGAGCCUGGUUCGGGCUGGGGGCGGACUCGCUG